UACAGAGGGUGCAAGCGUUGUUCGGAAUUAUUGGGCGUAAAGCGCGUGUAGGCGGCCCUGCAAGUCGGGUGUGAAAUCCCACGGCUCAACCGUGGAAGUGCACUCGAAACUGCAGGGCUAGAGUCCUGGAGAGGAAGGUGGAAUGCUUGGUGUAGAGGUGAAAUUCGUAGAUAUCAAGCGGAACACCGGUGGCGAAGGCGGCCUCUGGGACAGUGACUGACGCUGAGACGGCGAAAGCGUGGGAGCAAACAGG
rnacentral:rRNA from 1 species